rnacentral:rRNA from 1 species
UACGAGGGGGGCGAGCGUUGUUCGGAAUUAUUGGGCGUAAAGGGUGCGUAGGCGGUUUGGUAAGUCUUUUGUGAAAUCUCUGGGCUCAACUCAGAGUCUGCAAGGGAAACUGCCGGGCUGGAGUGUGGGAGAGGUGAGUGGAAUUUCCGGUGUAGCAGUGAAAUGCGUAGAUAUCGGAAGGAACACCUGUGGCGAAAGCGGCUCACUGGACCACAACUGACGCUGAUGCACGAAAGCUAGGGGAGCAAACAGG